GAUUAGACUUUAAAAAAGGUGUUCACGGGUCGUGCCUACCUGGGUCCUCGAGGAAAGCGACCUAAAGUUAGAUUAAUCGAAAUAAUUCAUCACGUAGGACCACCAUUAUUGGAGAUGUAUUCAAUUAUUGCAUAUAAAGUUGAUUGAAAUCGGGUGGGCGCGCGGUGUCCAAGAACGUAAUUGCUCGCCCGGACUCACUCAUUUCGUCCUUCGAGCCCGAACCCGGACGGGAUCGGUAUGCCGCCGGGCAGAUACCUUCUAAUGCGACUGGUGAAGGAUUCAAGAUGGCCUUCUGGCUUUGUCAGUGAUGUGAAGGAGAAUGGUCGUUGCUCAAGUGUUCGGGAUCUGUGUGAGAAGUGAGAAAUCGUGACACUUGAAGAUGCUAUCGUACGUACACUCUAAUCGAAUGCGUUGACCUUAGAAGACGUAUGCGGGAUGCAUACAUUAAACCGAUAAGUCCAAUUACAAUUGCAGUUUGCGGUUACUAAAAUCCUCAACAAAUACAGAUCUACGUGCAAAUUCUUACAGUUGACAGUUUGGGGACCACCAGGUUGGAACAGAAGGAAGCGGACACUAGCAGACGCAAUUUGGAACGUUCAUCAACAGUGAGGGUAGUUCCUGUUGAAAAUGUCACAACGUGGUUUCCGGUUCGGCAGUGGAACACAGCGCGUGUACCGUUGCUGGCCGCCGCCUCUGCCACAUCUGGCGGGGCCUUGGACUAGAGUCGUGUGGAGGUCGAAACCGUUCGAGCCCGCGACGAGCUCCAACUCCGGUUGCUGGUAAGCGAUGAGGCACUCGGCUGCGCCGCUGAUGCCAUUGCACGGCGGGGGAGUGGCGGUGGCGUUGAGGUCUCCAGGUGCGGCUUCGCAGGAGAGGCCAACUGUCAACAGAUACGAAAGGAAGAGAGCUUUUUUCUUCAAAUUGAGUUGCAUGGUGGUGACUUUGGCCCGUCCUUUUCAGUGUUCCCUAAGGACUGGAAGAGCUCUCAAAGAUGAUGAGCCUCUGUUUGUGCCUGUGUUCGUGCGUGUGUGGAUAUAAAUAGAGGACGGUGAGGGAAAAUGAGAUCAAGGAAAAAUGACAUAAAUAAUUGUUAAACUUUGGUCCAAUAUGCAAUAUUAUCCUGAACUUUAGUCCAGUGUUCAUUGGCA